UACGGAGGGUGCGAGCGUUGUCCGGAAUCACUGGGCGUAAAGGGCGCGUAGGUGGCGCAGGAAGUCAACGGUGAAAGUUCGGGGCUCAACCCUGAAUCGGCCGUCGAUACUCCUGGGCUCGAGCACUGUAGAGGCAGAUGGAAUUCCGAGUGUAGAGGUGAAAUUCGUAGAUAUUCGGAAGAACACCAGUGGCGAAGGCGACUUACUGGACACAUAUUGACG
rnacentral:rRNA from 1 species